AACGAACGCUGGCGGCAUGCCUAACACAUGCAAGUCGAACGAGACCUUCGGGUCUAGUGGCGCACGGGUGCGUAACGCGUGGGAACCUGCCCUUAGGUUCGGAAUAACUCCCCGAAAGGGGUGCUCAUACCGGAUAAUGUCUUCGGACCAAAGAUUUCUCGCCUUUGGAUGGGGCCGCGUUGGAUUAGCUAGUUGGUAGGGGACAAGCCUACCAACGCGACGAUCCAUAGCUGGUCUGAGAGGAUGAUCAGUCACACUGGGACUGAGACACGGCCCAGCCUCCUACGGGGGGCAGCAGUGGGGAAUAUUGGGCGAUGGGCGAAAGCCUGAUCCAGCAAUGCCGCGUGAGUGAUGAAGGCCUUAGGGUUGUAAAGCUCUUUUACCCGGGAUGAUAAUGACGGUACCGGGAGAAUAAGCUCCGGCUAACUCCGUG
rnacentral:rRNA from 1 species